rnacentral:rRNA from 1 species
CGGAAGCUAAGCCUGCCAGCGCCGAUGGUACUGCAUGGGGGACCGUGUGGGAGAGUAGGUCGCCGCCGGAC